GUCAGCCUGGUCAGCCUGGUAGUGGUGAUAUGUGUAACCCGGGUUAUUGCAGUGGAAAAAAAGCAUCUUCGGAGUAAUUGGUAACGUCUAGUGGAACUUGUGAAACAACACAUCGUCAUCGUACAAUCAACGUCACUCUCAUUUCAUCCAUUACAACGGAAGCUCAUCGAAACUGUGACAGCCGCCAACCUCUCUACCCCCCCCCCCCCCUCC